GGAUUAGGCAUGCAAGUCGCGGGAAUCCAGCAAUGGGGAACCGGCGUAAGGGGCAGUAAGGCAUGGGUAUCUACCCAGGGGUUCGGGAUAGCCACCAGAGAUGGUGGGUAAUACCGGAUGAUGUCGUGAGACCAAAGGUCCGCCGCCCUUGGAGGAGCCCAUGUGAUAUUAGCUAGUUGGUGAGGUAAUGGCUCACCAAGGCGAAGAUGUCUAGCGGGUGUGAGAGCACGACCCGCGCCACUCGCACUGAGACACUGGCGAGACACCUACGGGUGGCUGCAGUCGAGGAUCUUCGGCAAUGGGGGCAACCCURACCGAGCGAUGCCGCGUGCGCGAUGAAGGCCUUCGGGUUGUAAAGCGCGAAAGUGGGGAGAAACGCCGAAAGGCUUGAUCUAUCCACAGUAAGCUCGGGCUAAGUUCGUGCCAGCAGCCGCGGUAAGACGAACCGAGCGAACGUUGUUCGGAAUCACUGGGCUUAAAGGGCGCGUAGGCGGGCUGUCAAGUCUGGGGUGAAAUCCCGCGGCUCAACCGUGGAACUGCCUCAGAUACUGACGGCCUCGAGGGAGAUAGGGGCGAGCGGAACUAAUGGUGGAGCGGUGAAAUGCGUUGAUAUCAUUAGGAACUCCGGUGGCGAAGGCGGCUCGCUGGAUCUCUUCUGACGCUGAGGCGCGAAAGCUAGGGGAGCAAACGGGAUUAGAUACCCCGGUAGUCCUAGCCCUAAACGUUGGGUACUAGGUAGUAGACUAGACAUGGGUUUACUGCCGAAGCAAAAGUGNUAAGUACCCCCGCCUGGGGAGUAUGGUCGCAAGGC
rnacentral:rRNA from 1 species